ensembl:snoRNA
AUUGAAACCAGAGUCAUUCUUGGGUACCAUCUUUUGUCUUAGUGUGCUAGGGUCCUUGGAGGGUCACUGCUGACCUUAUUCUCUUGCUGUGGCCUUCCUGGCAUAGUCAGUCACCAGGGCAGGGAUAUGC